rnacentral:rRNA from 1 species
UAGUGGCCUACCAAGGCGACGACGGGUAGCCGGCCUGAGAGGGUGACCGGCCACACUGGGACUGAGACGCGGCCCAGACUCCUACGGGAGGCAGCAGUGGGGAAUAUUGCGCAAUGGGCGAAAGCCUGACGCAGCGACGCCGCGUGGGGGAUGACGGCCUUCGGGUUGUAAACCUCUUUCAGCAGGGACGAAGCGAAAGUGACGGUACCUGCAGAAGAAGCACCGGCCAACUACGUGCCAGCAGCCGCGGUAAUACGUAGGGUGCAAGCGUUGUCCGGAAUUAUUGGGCGUAAAGAGCUCGUAGGCGGUUCGUCGCGUCGGCUGUGAAAACCUGAGGCUCAACCUCAGGCCUGCAGUCGAUACGGGCGGACUUGAGUACUGCAGGGGAGACUGGAAUUCCUGGUGUAGCGGUGAAAUGCGCAGAUAUCAGGAGGAACACCGGUGGCGAAGGCGGGUCUCUGGGCAGUAACUGACGCUGAGGAGCGAAAGCGUGGGGAGCGAACAGGAUUAGAUACCCUGGUAGUCCACGCCGUAAACGUUGGGCGCUAGGUGUGGGGGCCAUUCCACGGUCUCCGUGCCGCAGCUAACGCAUUAAGCG